CAAAACGUGACCUACAUAUCAAAGAGUCCACAAGUCACAGCCUUCUACUCAAAUCAUGGGGAAAGAGUGUUGUAGGAUGAGAGCAAAGUGCUUUUACAUGCGUGCUAUAUCGAAUCUAACCUGUGGGAUAGUGAGGGCAUCUCCGUCAACCCAUAUCUUACGGAUGCAAAGUUGGUGUGGCGGCGGUUCCGUUUCGAAAGACCGUUCCGUGUUCGAUCGAUUUCGAAGUGUCCAAUUGUUGUCAUCUCCCUAGGUGGUUACCCGCUUUCCGAUUGGAGAAACCGUGACCCCUGGGCGGGACCCGCGAUGUCUCCACCGUUGGCUCCAUUCACUAGUCUACCCCCACCGUCCCCAAUUGGCCCGCCUUCUCUGCAGUUGGGUCCUCCGAUUACUUGAACCACAUGGAAUCCGGGUGGUUGUGACACGUAGCUUCUGCAGGUG